GAAUUCACUAGUGAUUCAGGCCUAACACAUGCAAGUCGGACGGUAGCACAGGAGAGCUUGCUCUCCGGGUGACGAGUGGCGGACGGGUGAGUAAUGUCUGGGAAACUGCCCGGUGGAGGGGGAUAACUACUGGAAACGGUAGCUAAUACCGCAUAACGUCUUCGGACCAAAGUGGGGGAUCUUCGGACCUCACGCCACCGGAUGUGCCCAGAUGGGAUUAGCUAGUAGGUGGGGUAACGGCUCACCUAGGCGACGAUCCCUAGCUGGUCUGAGAGGAUGACCAGCCACACUGGAACUGAGACACGGUCCAGACUCCUACGGGAGGCAGCAGUGGGGAAUAUUGCACAAUGGGCGCAAGCCUGAUGCAGCAAGGCCGCGUGUAUGAAGAAGGCCUUCGGGUUGUAAAGUAAAAGCAGCGGGGAGGAAGGCGGUGAGGUUAAUAACCUUGCCGAUUGACGUACCCGCAGA
rnacentral:rRNA from 1 species